rnacentral:rRNA from 1 species
AGAGUUUGAUCAUGGCUCAGGACGAACGCUGGCGGCGCGCUUAACACAUGCAAGUCGAGCGAGAACCAGGGCUUCGGCCCUGGGGACAGCGGCGAACGGGUGAGUAACACGUGAGUAAUCUGCCCUCGACACCGGGAUAGCCCGGGGAAACCCGGAUUAAUACCGGAUAGCCUUUCGAGCUCUCGGGCUCGUCAGAAAAGGAUGGCUUCGGCUUUCGGUUGAGGAUGAGCUUGCGGCGGAUUAGCUUGUUGGUGGGGUAACGGCUCACCAAGGCGACAAUCCGUAGCUGGUCUGAGAGGACGAUCAGCCACACUGGGACUGAGACACGGCCCAGACUCCUACGGGAGGCAGCAGUGGGGAAUCUUGCGCAAUGAGCGAAAGCUUGACGCAGCGACGCCGCGUGAGGGAAGAAGGCCUUCGGGUUGUAAACCUCUUUCAGGAGGGACGAAGCCGCUCGGGCUAAUACCCCAGAGGGUGACGGUACCUCCAGAAGAAGCCCCGGCUAACUACGUGCCAGCAGCCGCGGUAAUACGUAGGGGGCAAGCGUUGUCCGGAAUUAUUGGGCGUAAAGAGCGUGUAGGCGGCCAGGUAGGUCUGCUGUGAAAACUCGAGGCUCAACCUCGAGCUGUCGGUGGAAACCAUCUGGCUAGAGUCCGGAAGAGGAGAAUGGAAUUCCUGGUGUAGCGGUGAAAUGCGCAGAUAUCAGGAAGAACACCCGUGGCGAAGGCGGUUCUCUGGGACGGUACUGACGCUGAGACGCGAAAGCGUGGGGAGCAAACAGGAUUAGAUACCCCCGUAGUCC